rnacentral:rRNA from 1 species
AACGUAGGUGGCGAGCGUUAUCCGGAUUCAUUGGGCGUAAAGAGCUUGUAGGUGGCUGGGUAAGUUGGACGUGAAAACUCCGGGCUUAACUUGGAGAGGCCGUUCAAUACUGUCCGGCUGGAGGAUGUCAGAGGGAAGUGGAAUUCCUGGUGUAGCAGUGAAAUGCGUAGAUAUCAGGAGGAACACCCGUGGCGAAGGCGGCUUCCUGGGACAUAUCUGACACUGAGAAGCGAAAGCCAGGGGAGCAAAC